GUGCCGUUGGUGUACCGGUAACACACAACCUGUACUUAUAUGUCCACUGAAAGUGAGGUUGGGUCCCGGGUUCGAGCCCCGGACGGCGCA